rnacentral:rRNA from 1 species
GGCUUAAUUUGACUCAACGCGGGAAAUCUUACCGGGUCCGGACACACUGAGGAUUGACAGACAAAUAUAGAAAUUUUAUAUUUCUCAUAUAUAAAGAUGCUAGUUCUUUCAUGAUUAUGUGAUAGGUGGUGCAUGGCCGUUCUUAGUUCGUGGAGUGAUCUGUCUGCUUAAUUGCGUUUCAAUUUUUAUUAUGUAUACGUAUGACCCACGUUUACGCGUGCGAGUCUAGUAUGCUAUCAUUUGAAAGCAACGAACGUGACCGUAUCCUUUUAUUAUAUACGCACGCGUAUAUUUAUUCAUUAAAGGGACCGCUGUUUCUUUUUUUAAACCAGAGGAAGGUUACGGCAAUAACAGGUCUGUGAUG